GGGAUAUUGGUCAAUAGCCUAACGGCUGAACCAGCAACUUGGAGGAAUGUAUAGCAAUAGCUGAUUGCACCAACAAAUAGUUGAUGCAAUAUUGACUCUGUCAAAUAAAAUUCUAGGUAGAAUUAUGAUAAUGACAUUGUCUGCCUAUAUGUCUUGACCAAAUUACGUGCCAGCAGUCGCGGUAAUACGUAGAAGACUAGUGUUAUUCAUCUUUAAUAGGUUUAAAGGGUACCUAGACGGUAAAUAAAGCCUUCGCAGGGACUAAUUUACUAGAGUUACUUACGAGGGGGUAUUAAAGUACUGCAGGUGUAGAGAUGAAAUUCUGUCAUACCUAUUUUGGAAGGAAAAAUUAUGGCACAGGUAUAGGUGAAAGCAUCCCCUUNAUGUGAUAACUGACGUUGAAGGACGAAGGCUUUGUGUCGCGAACAGGAUUAGAUACCCCAGUAGUCAAAGCAGAAAAUGAUGAAUGUCAUAGAUUAGAAGAUAAAUAGUUUAUUCUAUAAAUGAAAAUGUAAGCAUUCCACCUCAAGAGUAAUUUGGCAACAUUGGAACUGAAAUCAUUAGACCGUUUCUGAAACCAGUAGUGAAGUAUGUUGUUUAAUUUGAUGAUCCGCAAAAAACCUUACCACAAUUUGAAUAUUUAUAUCUAUCUUUUUUUUCGUAAAAAAAUAAAAAGGUAAUAUAUUUACAAGCGUUGCACGGCUGUCUUCAGUUAAUGUCGCGAGACUUUGGUUAGUUCCAUUAAAUUAACGUAAACCCUUACUUUAUUUUCAUAUAAAGUAGUUCCCCGCUAUANUGGAUAUGAUAACAGGACUAA
rnacentral:rRNA from 1 species